UGUGGGAGCUGGCUUGCCAGCGAUGACGUCCAUUCAGUCCCUGUUUCUGUUGAAUGACACACCGCUAUCGCUGGCAAGCCAGCUCCCACA
rnacentral:antisense_RNA from 1 species